ACGGGGUAAAUAGAAAAGAAGUUGGUCGAGGCAAGUCACGGUGCCAGCAGCCGCGGUAAUUCCAGCUCCAAUAGCGUAUAUUAAACUUGUUGCAGUUAAAAAGCUCGUAGUUGAAUUUCAGCGUUUCGCGUGUGCCUCUUUUGGCCCAUCUCGUCUCGCUUUUUUUAUUACUUUGAGAAAAUUAGAGUGUUUCAAGCAGGCUUUUGUCUUGAAUACUUGAGCAUGGAAUAAUAGAGUAGGACCUUGGUUCUAUUUUGUUGGUUUUGUUACCUUGGUAAUGGUUAAUAGGAACGGUUGGGGGCAUUCGUAUUUAACUGUCAGAGGUGAAAUUCUUAGAUUUGUUAAAGACGAACUACUGCGAAAGCAUUUGCCAAGGACGUUUCCAUUAAUCAAGAACGAAAGUUAGGGGAUCGAAGACGAUCAGAUACCGUCGUAGUCCACCC
rnacentral:rRNA from 1 species